UGGCGGGGAGCAGCGCGCCCAGAGCCCAGCGCCCUGCCCGCAGUCCCCCGCCCGGGGAUUGGGGUGGGGAAAACUGCCCGCGGCGCAGCUCUCCCGCCAGCCUGGCAGGGCUCAGGGGACCCACCCUCCUUCGGGCCAGCGCUGCUGGGAGGGGAUGGGAUGGGGCGAGGUGGAGUGAGUGGCAGAUUCCUGGAGCUCGCAGAGGGGCGCGCUGUGCACCCCGUGCCUCCUCACCCAGCCCUCUUCCCUCCGGUGUCAAACAAGUAGUGGAACCGAGUUUGGGGGCUGGACUCUGGGACACGGCCCCUUGAAGACUGCUCCCAACCUGGCUGUUAGAAGUCUUCCUACUCCGAGGAAGUUUUAGGGAAAGCAGGGGUCCUUGGUGGCCCUUGGGGCCCGCUGUAAGCGGACACUGGCGGCGCGGCCCGCGUUUGGGGCCUCCGGCGCUGCCCGCCCGAUAUAGCGGGUGAUUCAGGGCUCAGGCACGCACCGGCGGGGGCUGCGUCAGGCGAGGGACAGCACAGCCAGCACACCCAGCACACCCCGGCGGACCCCGCGCCCCCGCCUCAGCCUCGGCUGCCUACCCCGUCCCCUCGCUGCCAUCUGCCCCUGGCCUCCCGGCCCUUUCAGGCCGUUGGAGAUACCCUCGCCAGCAGCGCGCAGAUAUACCCUUGGCCGGAUGGAAGCAGGCAGGCGCGGGGUACGGGGAGGCAGCGCGAGGAGAGCAAGAGGCGCUGGUGGAGGGUAGUGGACAGCCCCCACGGGGACCCGCGGUCCGGGCGCAGUGAAUCAUCCUGCAUAUCUGCGGGGGUGGCGGAGGAGGCAGCGCACUGGCAGGUGGCCGGCGUGCCCCAGGCUCCGCCCAGGCCUCCUGUUGCAUCCUUUGUACCUCUCCCCAUUCCUCCCGCCUAUAUUAAAAUGGAGAUUUUGUAUCAUAAUCCCCCAAAUAAACCUGGGAAUCUUAGUAUUGCUACCCCUCUCCACCUCCACCCCCGCCCCAAUCCCAUUAAGGUGGGUCUGAGCUGAGGGCCUGGUGAUCUUUGCUUGGGUGGGAAUGUGCCCAGCCUCACCUCCUCUCUGCUUCCCGCAGGCCUGGUUGAUGUUCCAACCCCAAGAAGCCCAAGAAGAAGCUGAAAGCACCCUCUGACCUGGCCACACCCAAGAUCGUGCCUUUUGACCUUCUGCCUGAGACUGAGCCCUUUGACCUGAAGCCUGAGACAGUGCCUGAGCUCCCACCCUUUGACCAGAUGCCUAGGGCACUGCCCUAUUACCCAGAACCUGUGCCUCUGCCCACUCCAAAGGAGCCGUCAGCUGGUGGGAGCACUUAGAGUCUCCUGGGUCCCAUGGGGCUGUGGGUAUGGAGUGUUACUACAAGUCCACCAUCAGCCCACUGCUUAGUGGUGGUCAGUACGGAAUAGCCGGCCUCUUCCAAGCUGCCCCUUGUGGGUGGGUGAUGGGUAUUGUGAAACACUCUCACAUUAUGCAGAGUUCAGGCAAAUAUGGUGUAUGCAAUGGGGUGGGAGGUGAAGGGAAGGAGACCUCUCCUACAUCUUCGUUUCUGUCUUAAUAGUAGACACUCCAAACACCAUACUUGAGCUGCACCCAGUGUGCCCUGUAUGAAAUUGCAUGAAACUGCUGUGGCUUCUGAUUCCCCCUUCCCUUCACCCUUCUGUCUCCUUCUCAGGGGCAGGCCAGUUUGACUCAAAGCCUCUUUAUAGAGGGCCCUCAUGAGACCCAGGCCUGGGGUCUAUUCUGUGCCCUCACCACUCUCUCUCUCCCUGUAGCUGGGGAGAACAUGGACACUUAUUUUUUCCAGGGUUUUCUUUCUUUCUUUCUUUCUUUUUUUUUAAUGUUUUGCAAAGAGAUCCCUUAUGUUUGCCAGAUCCUGCCUUGGGCGGGGCACUCAAAAGCUGCCAACUCUGAGAGGCCGGAAGCGGGUACCAUUUAGCUGGUUCUGGCUUGGAUCCUCUGGCUUCCCUAUAGCACAGUGUUUCUCAACUUUUUUUCUCUUUUUUUCAUAAUCAUCCCCCUAGGAGUCCUUUUAGACAUUUUCCCCUAAUUGUCCCCUCCCCCAUGAAAUUGUAAUACUACAGUUAUACUAUAUAUCUAUUUAUGUACCUAUUUUAUGCUCUAAUUUUUAGAGCACCACGAAUUAUUAUCUAACUCCCCCUGUCCCAGGAAUCAAUUUCUGCCCUCUUGGGGACAAAAUUGCCCCUAUCGAGAAUCACCCUGUAGCAGAAAAGAAGGACCUUCUGCCUGCAAUUCCUCUCACCCUCUUGUCUUGGCAACCUAAAGUGGAUAGCCUGAGUUUUAAAGAUUUUUCCCUCUCUUUCACCUCUACCCCAGUCCGCACCCUCUCCUAACAUCCUCUCUGAGCAGAUCCUGGAUCUCUGAAUUACUUUUCUAAAAUCUUCUCUGGCCAUUCUCAGGCAGUGACUGGGGACAGAGCUAGUUUGCUCUCAGGGCUUUAUGACAGUGACUCUUCUCCCUGACAGAUGUGAAAAGUGCCUGGCCAAGGACCAGACACAUAGUAGGUGCUCAAUUAAAUUAUAGUCGUAAUAAAAUAUUCUUCCUAAGCCAAAGGAUCUUAAGUUUAUACAGCAGAGAUGGGGAGUGGAAUGGAAGGGGCUGAGAACUUCCUGGACUGAUGCCUUCCUGGGUUGGGGAGCUGUGUGUGCCUGGUGGGGGCAGGGGAAGCUGUGCAUGCUUUUGUUCAGACCUGGUCAUUAAAGGUAACUCUGGAAACCAA